AUGCAAUAUGGGUUGUUUUUAUUAAACUACUACCACUUCUACAUGUUAGGCAAACCUAUGGUUGUAACCUUCCGUGCUUACUCGAAUGAUCAAAUCCUUUCAAUACUUCAGGGGAGGCUCCUGGUACUUCCAUAUGUUGUCUUCCAUCAGCAGGCUUUAGAACUUUGUGCCAGGAAAGUUGCAGCUGCAUCUGGGGAUAUGCGGAAAGCUCUUUCUGUUUGUAGGAGUGCGGUGGAAAUUCUUGAGGCAGAAUUAAGGGAAACUGUAAGUGAUGUCAGUUUGACAUCAGUAGAGGGGGAGUUCACCAAUCCACAGAUGUGUCCUAAUGAAGCCUUCCCUAAGAAAAUAUUACAGUGAGGAUUGACCAUAUGACUCUUGCAUUGUCAAAGACAUUCAGAUCACCUAUAGUUAACACUAUACAGUCUCUUCCGCAGCAUCAGCAAAUUAUACUUUGCUCUGCUGUGAAGUAUUUCCGUGGUGGAAAGAAGGAUACAACUGUUGGGGAGCUGAAUAAAUCUUACAUUGGUAUCUGUAAAUCUGCAUUGAUUCCACCAGUUGGAAUUUCAGAAUUUUCAAAAAAGGCGCUUGGAUGUGGAGUGUGAUUUCAUGGUUAAGAGAAUGAAACUGAAGGAUGUGCAGAAGUCACAUGCUGUUGACGCUAGUGCGUUGUCCGAGUCAACAACUAAUGAACUUUUUCAUGAAAUUUCAGUUUGUUCCAUGACUGACUUGACUUACAAACCUUGCUUUUAUACUUAUAUUCCAGUUAAAAUGCCUCAAGAUGCAUCAAGCAACACUAUUCGUGAUACAAGGGGACUUUCAGGAGAAAUUGGACGAACGCUUUUCAAAGAAGAAAGUUCAAGUUGCUUUUUUGGUGGAAAAAACAUAUGAAGUUCGUAGAAGGAAAGAUGAAUUGCGGGAUGCUUUUU